CCCCACCUGCAGCAACUACUUUUUUUCAUCCACCUUCAUUUCCAUUAAUUUAUCGUUUCCGUAUUUUAUUUAUUAAGCACAAGUGAUUUUCCCUGUGAUGUCCUUGGCGUCAGUGUUUGUUGGCGUCUUAUGAUAUGCACACACAAAUGUUAUUCGAGAGAAGGUGCGAGGUUAUCAGUAGUUUUUUUUUUUUUGUCACAGAAAUGCGGGAAGAAAUUAUGGGCAGGUGUACGUAUGUGGUGGUUCUAAGGGAAAUGUGGUGGCAGAGCUAAUAACUUGACGAUAGAAACUGCGCGACCAGUUUCUAUAUGAGGUUGAGACUUCUGUAUGUAAGAGAGUUGCAUUUUUCCUUUCCGGUCAUUUGAGGAGAUAAAAGAUCUCGAAGGUAGGAACGGCGACUCGCCAAACAUCACGCGACAGGCAAGGCAGUCCCCCAAGCGAUGAAACAGGAAACCAGUGACAGAAGACAAAAACUGGCUGAAAGCUGCCAAGAGGUCCUCGAAUACAAAGACCCCCAGCUGGCCGACCUCUUGGAUGCAGCCUUCAACAAACUGAACACAUGGAAGGGCGCUGCUGUCCGCGCGAGAAACUCCACUCGGAGCGAGGACAUGGCCGCUUUGGUGGCAGCCAAAAGUGCAGGGCGGCAAGCACUUCAAGAUCUGCGCGCUGAAAUGCAAACCCUGCAAACUGUAUAGUGUGUGUGCGUGCGUGUGUGUGUGUGUUUGUGCGUGUGUGCGUGUGCGUGUGUGUGUGCGUGCGUGCGUGUGUGUGUGUGUGUGUGUGUGUGUGUGUUAGUGUGUGUGUGUGUGCGUGUGUGCGUGUGCGUGUGCGUGUGUGUGUGUGUGGAUGGAACUACGUGGGUCCUGUGUCAGAUAUGGUGGAGCACUACUCUGAGGGCUGUCACCGCCUCGUCAACUGCCGCUCGUGCAAGAAUCCCGUUGCCAGAAUGAGCGUCUUUUGGCUCACUUGCGGGGCGGCUGCAAGUCGGACGUUCUGGCCACGAACCAGGCGCGUCCGUCGUCCGCUAGCAGCGGCCCCGACGGCGACGGUUCUCUGUCCACGCUGCUGAGCACGAUAGACAACCUGGAGAAUGGUCUGACGAGGACAAAUCACCUCGAAGAAACGCUGCGCGAACGGAUUAGCGUCGCUGUGCAGCCACCAACGGUUCUCAGUGACAAAGUCACAGGGACAACUCAUUGACGGCCGGACACUACCACUGCAGUAGGCACAACUACACAGGCCGGCGGAGAACGACAGCAGCCCGACGUUGUGUCGGCUUCUUCGACGUCUCCGUCCGAAGAGAACGCUACGCCAGUAGCCAACCGUGACGCCGUGGUGGCAGACUCCGCGACCCAAUCGAGAGAUCAGUCGCCCUCCGAGACUCUCACGAACGGCCUCAAUUGUGAGCUCGAGGCUGUGGUCGAGUCAACUACACCUUGAGAUGCUGCCGAAGGGCAGCCCAGACCAGAACCGAAAGCCUUUUUCAAUUACGUCUGGGUGAUCAAACCCCUCCGCAAGUACCGUAACGCGCCCCUGCAGGUCUUCACGAGCAACGUACUCACUGUGGGCGAAAAGGGGUACAGGAUGAGGCUGGAAGGCAAGUUCCGCGACCUGUCUUCACCUGUCUUUUCACCUCGGUCCCAGCGAUGCCUGUCUCGAAUUGCCGUAAAACCGCAAGUGGCGCUUCGUUGUCCUCCACCAUAAGCAGCACGCCAGAGACGUAAGCUACAACGCUUUUUGGCCAAAUGAACGUCCAGAAAAGGCAGAAUGCGGCCAACACGGUUCUGAAGCGGCCGAAAAAGAAGGAUAACGACAGCAUUGGCCUUGAGAGGUGUCUGUCCGUCGCGCAAACGCUGCAGUGUCAAGAACAACGAAUUGUCAAGAACAACGAAUGCAAGGUGCGCUUCAUUGUUGAGUGAAGUGCUCACCACCUUUUGCGAAGCAAGACCUGUCGGGAUACGACAGACUUCCUUCCAGCCUUUGGACUCUUUUUCUCGAGAGCGGUGACGAAGCAUUUUUAGCACACGUCCAUCCUUUUUUUUUGUUGUUGCUGCCUUGUCAUCGGUCACAUGUCGAGAGCAUCAUAUUGUUUUAUUUGGUUGUUGGAAUGGAUGAAUAUGGCGACUAAUGUUGAGUGAAUUGCUAAUGGUCUUGCUUGCUCUGUCUUUGCCAUCGAAAGCACUGGCACACCAGACGUUGCACCAAAGCAGAUGAAAUGAUGCAGAAGUUAGGCGGCAGGCAGGCACUGCUAGUUCAGAAGCUUUCUUUUCUGAUCACCUGAACUAGACUUGCAGAUGCAGAGCCAUCAGCAUAAUGGCUAGACUUGCGAGCAUGUGGUAAAAGAAUUGAUUAUCUGUAAGCUUACAUCACUGAAGGUGUACCUUUCAUCAGUCGUUUUGUGUGUUUAUCACCACCACCUCGUGCAGAGUGCAGUAGCAGGCUCUAUUGAACAGAUCGCUUGCACUGAUGUCGCUGCCACCGUUCUGGCAAAACAUUUGCACGCACUAGUCUUAUUCUCUAUUCUUCGGAAGUGCAGAAGAGACUGAGUGCCUCACCCAAAUGGUGGAAGCGACAUUAUGUGCAAGCCAUCUUUUAUACAUGUCAUCAUUUUGGAGGUUGCGGGCAAUUAUGGAUUGAUGCACAAGUUGAAAUGUUCGGCCUUCCAUGGGUUUGUGCUGGGGGUUUUGAGUAAACUGGAUCACUCUCUGGUUAUGAAAACGUGAGCUUAUGUACGGCCACUGCAUCUUAGUGGUUUGCUUGCCAUAUGGUAAGUAAUUCUUGCUUCAGUGGAGUAAUUGGGCCAAAUGAUGUCACCAUCAUGUCUUGCUCUUAUCUUACCUAUAUGGGAAACUAAAAACAAUAAAAAUAAUACAUUGAACGAAUCAGCAUAAUUGUAGGCUUGGGCAUUCGUUGCAUCAACUUUUGCUGUAUCCUGUGACAGCUAAGGUGGCAUUGGCACAUGACAUCACCAAACGUCACUGAUGGGCUCCUGGGGUUUUUUGGCGCCAGGCUUGGUGCCUUGUUGUGCAAAUGCCAGCUGUUGUUUCAGUGUUUGUUCGUGCUGUCAUGAUCUUUGAUGCAAAAAAUUUUAUGCAGCAGUAUUAAGCUUCACCAUGUUUUGGCUCAUGAACAAGGUGUCUUGCUUCUCUGACAGAGUGAUGGGCGACAUCACUAUACCAGACUGUGGCCUCAAGAUUGUGUCGUAUUGUGUGGUGUAUAUAAUACCUCUAAUUGGAGAAGCCAUGCCAGACAGUUCCAGUAAUUUUGACAAAACAUUUCUGAAGAACGUCUUGACAUGUGCCACCAUGACAACAACUUCCUGCAGGUUGCAUUCUCUCACGUAUUUGUUUUAUAUCAUUUUCAUUCUACUUUCCAUAUGUUUUCACUGCACAACCGACCCAAAUAACUUAAACAUCAGCUACACAUUUUGCGCUGAAUUAAAUGUUGUGGGUUGUAUUCCCAGUCGAUCCCUUCCAAAGUGUAGUAAAAGUGUGAGACGGGACAGGAACCAACUAAGCAAAAUCAAUGGAUGACGUUUUUCAAGGUAUUCAUUGAAAAAACCUGCAGCCAGAAGGAUGCCCGUUUUUUCACUUAGGUGUUUUGCUUGUUACAUCGCACAGAAGUUAUACCCCAAGGUGAUCUACCGUGGGUACGACCUGAGCUGUGUUGCUGCCUUACCUUGGUAAAACUUUAUUUUCCCGCAGAAUUUCAAAUCGCGCAGAUAAAUCUCUUUCCUUAUUUCUUUUCCUUCCACUAUUUAAAUAUUUUUUUUCAGCUGCAUGGUGCAUCUGGUGCUUCAUUUGUUGUCUCUGUGCCCUGUUUUUAGUUCCUUUGCUUUGAACCAUAAACAUCUCUUAAGCUUCCUUUUGCAUCUGUCUGUUCAUUGCACCUGUGAAUUGGGAGCGCCACAACAGGACUGCUUCUUUUUGAUGAGGCCGAAUAAAACCACAAGGAAUGCA